AUACUUACCUGGCAGGGGAGAUACCAUGAUCACGAAGGUGGUUUUCCCAGGGCGAGGCUUAUCCAUUGCACUCCGGAUGUGCUGACCCCUGCGAUUUCCCCAAAUGUGGGAAACUCGACUGCAUAAUUUGUGGUAGUGGGGGACUGCGUUCGCGCUUUCCCCUG
ensembl:snRNA U1 U1 spliceosomal RNA